rnacentral:rRNA from 1 species
ACGGGGGGCGUAGGGGAGGCAGCAGUAAGGAAUAUUGGUCAAUGGACGGAAAUCUGAACCAGCCAUGCCGCUUGCAAGAAGAUGGCCGUAUAGGGUGUAAACUGCUUUUGCAGGGGAAUAAACCUUGAUACGUGUAUCGAGUGAAAUAACGUAGAU